rfam:Haemonchus contortus, ISE/inbred ISE, WGS project CAVP01000000 data, contig: Hcontortus_44047
GGCCCAAAUCUGAAGUAGGGUAGAUUAGUAAGGUCAGCUGAUCCUACUAUUCUACUCACUGUACUUCGGAAUUGGGCCC